CCUACGGGAGGCUGCAGUGGGGAAUAUUGGGCAAUGGGCGCAAGCCUGACCCAGCAACGCCGCGUGAAGGAAGAAGGCUUUCGGGUUGGAAACUUCUUUUCUCAGGGACGAAGCAAGUGACGGUACCUGAGGAAUAAGCCACGGCUAACUACGUGCCAGCAGCCGCGGUAAUACGGAGGUGGCAGGCGUUAUCCGGAUCUACUGGGUGUAAAGGGCGUGUAGGCGGGGACGCAAGUCAGAUGUGAAAACCACGGGCUCAACCUGUGGCUUGCAUUUGAAACUGUGUUUCUUGAGUACUGGAGAGGCAGGCGGAAUUCGUGGUGUAGCGGUGAAAUGCGUAGAUAUUACGAAGAACACCAGUGGCGAAGGCGGUCUGCUGGACAGCAACUGACGCUGAGGCGCGAAAGCGUGGGGAGCAAACAGGAUUAGAUACCCGAGUAGUC
rnacentral:rRNA from 1 species